rnacentral:sRNA from 1 species
UGGUAGAUGCACCCUGAUGAUCAAGAGAGCUUGAAGACGGCUCUCUUAUUUUUUU